UACGUAGGGUGCGAGCGUUAAUCGGAAUUACUGGGCGUAAAGCGUGCGCAGGCGGUGAUGUAAGACAGUUGUGAAAUCCCCGGGCUCAACCUGGGAACUGCAUCUGUGACUGCAUCGCUGGAGUGCGGCAGAGGGGGAUGGAAUUCCGCGUGUAGCAGGUGAAAUGCGUAGAUAUGCGGAGGAACACCGAUGGCGAAGGCAAUCCCCUGGGCCUGCACUGACGCUCAUGCACGAAAGCGUGGGGAGCAAACAGG
rnacentral:rRNA from 1 species